AACAUGUCCUUUUGUUUGUAUUUAUUUAAGGUCUAGCCUGCCCAAUGAGGAUUUGAAUGGCCGCGGUAUAUUAACCGUGCUAAGGUAGCAUAAUCACUUGUCUUUUAAUUGAAGGCUUGAAUGAAUGGCUGGACGAGGUACCAUCUUUCUUUAAUUUAUUUUAUGAAUUUAAUUUCUUAGUCAAAAAGCUAAGAUUUUUUUAAGGGACGAGAAGACCCUAUAGAUCUUUAUAUAUGGGUUUAUUUAAAUGAUUUGGUAAUAAUUAAUUUUAAGUAUUCUAUGUAUUUAGUUGGGGCGAUUGUGGAAUUUAAUUAACUUCCAUUUUUAUUUUUCAUUGAUUAAUGUAUUAUUGAUCCAUUUUUAUUGAUUAUAAGUUUAAGUUACCUUAGGGAUAACAGCGUAAUUUUUUCGGAGAGUUCAUAUUGAUGAAGGAGUUUGCGACCUCGAUGUUGGAUUAAAAUUAGUAAUGGAUGUAGAGGUUCAUUAACUAGGUCUGUUCGACCUUUAAUUUUUUACAUGAUCUGAGUUCA
rnacentral:rRNA from 1 species